rnacentral:lncRNA from 1 species
UGGGUUUUAUGCCAUGAGCAUACUCACAUGGGGCUUACUAUUUUUUAACAUUUUUAUUUUCUUUUCAAGAUAGCAUGAACCUGAUUAACUAAGCAAACUAUUGAAUGGAAAAGGAUAACUACCAAGUUUACCUCUUGGCAAGGCGUUCGGUAUAACGGGACUCUCCGUUUUCUCAGUCGUCCUGGGAUUCGCUGGAUGGCGUAGUCGGUGGUUCCGGCGGCGCCUCCUCUUCGUGUGUAACUAUCUUCUCUCUCCACACCUGACUCGGUGCUACGGUCUCCUCAGGACAGUUCUGUUCAAGCUAUAUGUCUUCAGACCUUAUCACUUCUCCUUCGUAAUCUACCCAUUCGUCUUUGAUGAUUUGCCUCCUCUGGUUGCGGUUGCGUUGUCUUCUUCUUGUCCUGACCUGCUUAGAGUCUUCAACUAUAUAGUUAGGGUCAGUAAAAUAGCGGUGUACCUUCUCAGAGGAGAAGUGUAUGUGGACUUCUCUGAUUCCAAUAUAGAUGAUGGCUUUGAUAGUGUUGAGAAACGGUCUUCCAAGGAUGAUGGGUG